CUGUCAAAUCUUUAUUUCACAAAGAAUGAAUUGCAUAACAAUGAACUGAGCUCAAAGCAAAGUACUUUAAUAAUACACUUAGACAAAGAGCUAAAUCCAGUGAUAUACUUUGUACUACAGGUCCUUCAUUAACAUCCAUUGACCAAAACCAUAUCUCAACAACAUUCCAUACUACAUGGUUGGAUUCAGAAGUCCUGAAAAAGACAUGAUUUUUUUUAACAUAUUUUAAGUAUAUAUACACAGGUUAAAACUUUCUUGUUGUAUAAUCAUUCCGUAUCUAGCAACUAUCAAUUUGCUUAAUGCACAUAUUGAUAUAUGUUGAGUGUACCUCUGUUGGAAAUAAGAACACACAAACCUC
rnacentral:lncRNA from 1 species